UACGGGAGGCAGCAGGAGGAAUAUUGGUCAAUGGGCGCAAGCCUGAACCAGCCAUGCCGCGUGCAGGAUGACGGUCCUAUGGAUUGUAAACUGCUUUUGUACGAGAAGAAACACUCCAACGUGUUGGAGCUUGACGGUGUCGUAAGAAUAAGGAUCGGCUAACUCCGUGCCAGCAGCCGCGGUAAUACGGAGGAUCCAAGCGUUAUCCGGAAUCAUUGGGUUUAAAGGGUCCGUAGGCGGUUUAGUAAGUCAGUGGUGAAAGCCCAUCGCUCAACGGUGGAACGGCCAUUGAUACUGCUGAACUUGAAUUAUUAGGAAGUAACUAGAAUAUGUAGUGUAGCGGUGAAAUGCUUAGAGAUUACAUGGAAUACCAAUUGCGAAGGCAGGUUACUACUAAUGGAUUGACGCUGAUGGACGAAAGCGUGGGUAGCGAACAGGAUUAGAUACCCUGGUAGUCCACGCCGUAAACGAUGGAUACUAGCUGUUGGGGGCAACUUCAGUGGCUAAGCGAAAGUGAUAAGUAUCCCACCUGGGGAGUACGUUCGCAAGAAUGAAACUCAAAGGAAUUGACGG
rnacentral:rRNA from 1 species